rnacentral:rRNA from 1 species
GACGAACGCUGGCGGCGUGCCUAAUACAUGCAAGUCGAACGCACGAAGUUGAAGAGCUUGCUCUUUAACCAAGUGAGUGGCGGACGGGUGAGUAACACGUGGGUAACCUACCCAUUAGAGGGGGAUAACAUUCGGAAACGGAUGCUAAUACCGCAUAGUUUCAGGAAUCGCAUGAUUCGUGAAGGAAAGGUGGCUUCGGCUACCACUAAUGGAUGGACCCGCGGCGUAUUAGCUAGUUGGUGAGGUAAUGGCUCACCAAGGCAAUGAUACGUAGCCGACCUGAGAGGGUGAUCGGCCACACUGGGACUGAGACACGGCCCAGACUCCUACGGGAGGCAGCAGUAGGGAAUCUUCCGCAAUGGACGAAAGUCUGACGGAGCAACGCCGCGUGAGUGAAGAAGGUUUUCGGAUCGUAAAACUCUGUUGUUAAAGAAGAACAAGGAUGAGAGUAACUGCUCAUCCCCUGACGGUAUUUAACCAGAAAGCCACGGCUAACUACGUGCCAGCAGCCGCGGUAAUACGUAGGUGGCAAGCGUUGUCCGGAUUUAUUGGGCGUAAAGCGAGCGCAGGCGGUUCUUUAAGUCUGAUGUGAAAGCCCCCGGCUCAACCGGGGAGGGUCAUUGGAAACUGGAGAACUUGAGUGCAGAAGAGGAGAGUGGAAUUCCACGUGUAACGGUGAAAUGCGUAGAUAUGUGGAGGAACACCAGUGGCGAAGGCGACUCUCUGGUCUGUAACUGACGCUGAGGCUCGAAAGCGUGGGGAGCAAACAGG